GGGCCCGCACAAGCGGUGGAGUAUGUGGUUUAAUUCGAUGCAACGCGAAGAACCUUACCAGGGUUUGACAUCCUGCGAAUCUCUUGGAAACUUGAGAGUGCCUUCGGGAGCGCAGUGACAGGUGGUGCAUGGCUGUCGUCAGCUCGUGUCGUGAGAUGUUGGGUUAAGUCCCGCAACGAGCGCAACCCACGUCUUUAGUUGCCAGCAUUUAGUUGGGCACUCUAGAGAGACCGCCGGUGAUAAACCGGAGGAAGGUGUGGAUGACGUCAAGUCAUCAUGCCCCUUACAUCCUGGGCUACACACGUACUACAAUGGCUAAUACAAUGGGCAGCCAACCCGCGAGGGGGAGCCAAUCCAAUAAAUUAGUCUCAGUCCGGAUCGAAGUCUGCAACUCGACUUCGUGAAGUUGGAAUCGCUAGUAAUCGUAUAUC
rnacentral:rRNA from 1 species